CCAGAGUAAAACUAAAUUUUUUGUAGCAGCUGUCUCCAGCAGCUUUAAAACUGGAAUUAUAUUAAAAAGGUAAACUUACAGAUAAUCAUCGCCGUCCGAGGUAGCACCAUGUGACGGUACGACAAUCGUUGCUGUUCUUCAGUCGACGUGUGCAGCUGGUUUCCUUUUGGGAUACGCUAUAAUUUACGUUAAUUUAGCCCC